rnacentral:other from 1 species
AUCCUGAUGUGUUCGCGAAACGCCAAUCAGUUUUGACCGAACAAUUAUAUCGUCGGGAGUCUGACUUUUAUUGUUAAUGACAUGCCCUCUAGUUAGGGACUUCAAAGACAGUGAAGAGGACACCCACCUGCUCUGUGCGGGUUCAAAACGAUAAGCACUAUUAGUCGGCACGAUUGGGAU